rnacentral:rRNA from 1 species
UACGUAGGUGACCAGCGUUGUCCGGAUUUACUGGGCGUAAAGAGCGCGCAGGCGGUCGUUCAAGUCGAGUGUGAAAGCCCCCGGCUCAACUGGGGAGGGUCACUCGAUACUGAUCGACUUGAAGGCAGGAGAGGGAAGCGGAAUUCCCGGUGUAGUGGUGAAAUGCGUAGAUAUUCGGAAGAACACCAGUGGCGAAGGCGACUAACUGGACAUGUAUUGACGCUGAGGUGCGAAAGCGUGGGGAGCAAACAGGG